rnacentral:rRNA from 1 species
UACGGAGGGGACUAGCGUUGUUCGGAAUUACUGGGCGUAAAGCGCACGUAGGCGGAUUUGUAAGUCAGGGGUGAAAUCCCGAGGCUCAACCUCGGAACUGCCUUUGAUACUGCAAAUCUCGAGUCCGGAAGAGGUGAGUGGAAUUCCUAGUGUAGAGGUGAAAUGCGCAGAUAUCAGGAGGAACACCAAUUGCGAAGGCAGCUCGCUGGGACGUUACUGACGCUGAGACGCGAAAGCGUGGGGAGCAAACAGG